rnacentral:rRNA from 1 species
UACGAAGGGGGCUAGCGUUGUUCGGAAUUACUGGGCGUAAAGCGCACGUAGGCGGAUAUUUAAGUCAGGGGUGAAAUCCCAGAGCUCAACUCUGGAACUGCCUUUGAUACUGGGUAUCUGGAGUAUGGAAGAGGUGAGUGGAAUUCCGAGUGUAGAGGUGAAAUUCGUAGAUAUUCGGAGGAACACCAGUGGCGAAGGCGACUCGCUGGACUGAUACUGACGCUGAGGUACGAAAGCGUGGGGAGCAAACAGG